AUGGCACCUAAGCUGCACCAGCCGGUCCACGCACACACUGCGAUCUGGAAUCCUCACUCCACCAACGGAAAUAGACCCGCUUCCGCUACUACAGACGACGUCGUCUGCGCGAUCUCGCACCGAACCACCAUAGAACCAUAUCAAGAAAUACGCUCUCAUCAGCCCUCCGUGAAGUCGACAACAAGCACACCUGCUCCACCGUACAACCAGCACCACGAUACAAUCGCCACGGGCGAGUCAUCUGCAACCACAAAUCGUUGCGUGAAUCUCACUGCAGUGUUUCUAUUAAGGUAG